rnacentral:lncRNA from 1 species
GAAAAUAAGAUCAGCCACUGCAGCUGGUGAGAAGCCAGACAACUCAUUCAAGUCACCAAGGCUUGCUCCACACUGAGCUGCCUAGAGCUGCCCACAGGCUGGCAGGAAGAUCUGUAUGUCUGUCGGCAGGCGGCGUGUCCUGCAGGGGUGCCCACCGCUCUGCUGAGUGCCCAAGUGGGUAUUUUGGCCCAGACAUCCAUGUAGAGGGUGUCAGCUGAGGAGGAACAUCUCCCUCAAGCUACAACUUUCAGUCCAAACAGAGCCUGACCUGGGACUGCUGCAGUGAGUAAUAUUCUUGUGGCAUGCGUAAGAAGAUUUCUGCUGUAUCAUUGCACUGUUUCAUGAUGCAGUGCACACACAGAGGAGGACCCGACUGCAGAGAGAUCGCUGCCACGUGCCGGAUCUACAGAUGCAUUGGGAACGCCUGCCUGUGUAAACACAGAUGCUAUUUUGCAAAAGUUUCUAGAUAGCAGCUGAAUGAUGACUCAGACAUUUUUUGUCACUGCAGAGCUGCACAUGGUCUUGUGUACAGCAUCGUGAAAGACAUUAGAGCAAACGUACCAAUGAAGAGCUCUUUACUCUGGAAUUUUUGUGCACCCCACAUUUUUGCAAUAAUGCUCUCUGCAAUAAGCCAUAAUGUUCUUCUGUGACACGACAUGCAUAGCAAUAAAAAGAGAUAACUGGCAUCCUUAUGUUUAAGU